AGCAAAGAGCUUUUCUCCACAAAGCUCAUUCCUUUUCUUCCCCAGCACCUCCCUACCAAGGGAGAGAAGAGAUAGAAGGAACAGGAGGAGGAGGAUAGAAGAUCAGAGGAGAAGGAGGAAGUUUAAAGGGGGUGCGCUGCCAGUGCCGGUCGCGACGUUGCUCGUCUAGAUUUGUUCGGCUGAGGGAGGAAGAGAGAUGAGGCGGCACGUACACUGCUCAUCCAAAUCUGCACGGCCGACUUGGUGCCUCUGAGAUUUGAUUUGUGUUGGUUUCGGUGGAGAUGGUGUAUGCAGGUGUUGUACAGGGCUUUUUGCCAUGGUAGCGGGGCUGAGCAAGUUUGAGGAGGGUUGCGCCACGCCUAGAGCGACAGGUGGUUGCGCUGCUACUCCUUGGUGAUGGCGGCGAUGGCAACCUCGAGCAACCAGAUUUGGGACCAGAUGAUGCCCGCUCCUAAGGUGGCGAUUGAUUAGGUGGCCAGCCUUCAAGCCAGGCUACGCUAGGCGGCUGUAUUGGAUCCUCGCACGCACUACUCGUAUGGUAUGGGUCUAAACUUGUUCGAAGAUCUCCGAGAGGCAUUUGAGAGGAUGACUGAUAUUAGUACUGCCGCGGAAGCACUUAAUGAGGUUGAAAUAUAUCGGAUAAAGUCUCGAUCAUUCGCUGAUCGGCUCGUAUCACGGAUGGCAUGUGACGGUAGUACUCCACAUGCGCAACGGUGGUCUAUGUUCGGAUCGUCUAUACCUUCACUAAUGAUGCUUGCCUGGCGUCUAGUGUCUCAGUGCAUUUCAUCUAGUGGGUGUGAGAGGAACUAGAGUACAUUUGCAUUUAUCCACACGAAAGUUCGCAACAUGUUAAGCUACAAGAAGCUCUAUAAGUUGGUAUAUGUAAACUACAACCUGAGAAUACAAAAUAAUUUGGAUGCAGAUAUCAGGUUGACUGUUGAUGAUGACCCACUUCAGCGGCUUAUGGAGCUCACAUUAAACGAGGAGAACAAUCUGCUCCGAGACUGGGUGAAGACCAAUAGAUCAAAUACUGCCCCAGAGCAUGAUGAGGAGGACAUAGACAAUGACAUACCCCUGCCUACUCACUUGGUGAUAGACACAAUAAACCCACAUGAUUUACAACUGCAGACUAGGGAAUGUACACUAGCACAGUGGGCUACUAAAGUGGUAGGUGACACAUAUAUGGGAAAGAGGAAGAAACAAAUUGUGCAUACAAAGAAGAGCAAGAAGAUUAAGGAUAAGGGAAAAAGACAAGUGCCAAAUGAUGAGAGCAUAGAUAGUGCCUCAAAGAGCAUAACUUGUUAAGAGUUUAAUGACAGCAGCUCAAAAGACUGAUAGCGAUGAUGGUCAGGGAGGCGGUGCUCCUCCACACCCAUCCUCUGUCGUUGUUCCCGUGCAAUUCACCGGUGAGAAUCAGUUUUCGCAUGCCACACAGGACCAGGACCAUAGUACCCCAUCCUCAAAGGCAUGUCAUACAGGGUGUCUAUGAUAGACCACAAGAUAGUGGGAGCUAUUCCAGCAACUAUGGUAUGAAGAGUAGUUCUGGAUCAUAUCUUUACCAAUAUCCUGUCUCCAAUACUCAGUCAGAGCCUCCUAUUCAGUGGAUCUAUGAGUGACGAGACUCUAAGUUUUAUGCCAUAUUGUAAGGACAAUGGUCAACCACUUCUGCAUGAACGAAACAAACUUAGGUAGAGUUUAAGACAAAGUUACUAUUUACAUGACGAAUAAUACUCAUGUCCACUGAGGAGUACAAUACAACCGAAUUUAAUCGUCUCCUGUUAGA